UACGUAGGUGGCAAGCGUUAUCCGGAUUUAUUGGGCGUAAAGGGAACGCAGGCGGUCUUUUAAGUCUGAUGUGAAAGCCUUCGGCUUAACCGGAGUAGUGCACUGGAAACUGGGAGACUUGAGUGCAGAAGAGGAGAGUGGGACUCCAUGUGUAGCGGUGAAAUGCGUAGAUAUAUGGAAGAACACCAGUGGCGAAAGCGGCUCUCUGGUCUGUAACUGACGCUGAGGUUCGAAAGCGUGGGUAGCAAACAGG
rnacentral:rRNA from 1 species